UGAGAACAUGAUGUUGGUUCAGAUAAAAUGCUAUAUAGGGAUAUGACACAUGCAAAUUAUAUUUAAUAUAGUGUUCAGGUGAGUAAAAUUUAUAUUAAAGAUAAUAUAAAUCAGAUGUAGGUAUUAAAUAGAAUUUAGCCUUAGAACUGUAAUUAAUAAUUAACGUUAAAUUAAUCACAUUGGUAAUAAUUAUCAACAUCUAUAUGAUGCAGCAGUGAAGAAUAUUUGACAAUGAUCUAACGAUUGAUCAAGUUACCUAUGAGAUAUGUUAUUAAAUAAUAAUAAAAAGAAUAACUAAGAAUAUCGGAAUUUAUUAUAAUAAUGAUAUAAUAAAGGAUAGUUCCAGCUAAAAAAUGUGCCAGCAGUUGCGGUUAUACAUUGGGAGCAAGCAUUAAUCAAAAAGGCUUAAAGUAUCCGUAGUACUAUAAAAUAUAUUAUUAGAAUUUAUAAAAAUGUUAUAAGAAUUAUAAGAAUAGAGAUGAAAUGCUAUGAUACUUAUAGGACUGCAAAAAGAUAACAGUAAAUAAAUUGACGUUUUGGGAUGAAAGCUAAAUAAGUGAUAUGGAUUCGAUACCCAUGUAAUCUUAGCUGUAAACUAUGAAUAUUAACUUUUAAUUAUUAAAAUUUUUAAAUAAUUAAAUUAACAAAUGAAAAUUUAGAAUAUUCCGCCUGACGAGUACGCUCGCAAGAGUGAAAUGCAAGACAUUAGACGGUUAUAGUAACCAGCAGUGGAAUAUGUCGUUUAAUUGGAUAAUCCGCCACAAACCUUACCAUCUUUUGAAUAUCUUUAAUAUUAAAUUAAAGAAUACAGGUGUUACAUCAUUGUCGUCAGUUCAUGCCGCAAGGUUUAAUAUUAAGUUAUAAAAUGAACGUAAUCCUUUUAAUAUUAAAUAUUAUUAUUAACAAGUGUUUUAUAAGUAAACAGGAAGAGGAGGAUGAAGACUAAUCCGGAUGACCCUUAUAAGAUGGGCUAUAGACGUAUUACAAUAUUAUUGACAAUAAUUUAGAUAGAAAUAUUUAUUUAAAUUAAAAUUUAAGACUUUAAUAUUAUUUUUUUUUAUGGAUUGUAAACUGUAAUUCGUUUACAUAAAAUAGGAAUUGCUAGUAAUCGUAAACAAUAGUGUUACGGUGAAACUAAUAACUAUUUCGCACUAACCACUCAUCAAUAGCUAGAAAUUUAAAGUAAAAUAGUCUGAUUAACAUUAGACACUUUGAAACAAAUAACCAGCUGUAAGUUGAAAUACGGUUCGGCUAGGGGAACCUGGUCGGGAUUUA